AUUGAACGCUGGCGGCAUGCUUUACACAUGCAAGUCGAACGGCAGCGCGGGCUUCGGCCUGGCGGCGAGUGGCGAACGGGUGAGUAAUGCAUCGGAACGUGCCCAGUAGUGGGGGAUAGCCCGGCGAAAGCCGGAUUAAUACCGCAUACGACCUGAGGGUGAAAGCGGGGGACCGAAAGGCCUCGCGCUAUUGGAGCGGCCGAUGUCGGAUUAGCUAGUUGGUGGGGUAAAGGCUUACCAAGGCGACGAUCCGUAGCUGGUCUGAGAGGACGACCAGCCACACGGGGACGGGACCCCGCCCAAGCCCCUACGGGGGGGAGGAAGGGGGAAUUUUGGGAAAAGGGGGGCAACCCUGACCCAGCCUUCCCGCGUGGGGGAAAAAGGCCUUGGGGUUGAAAACCGUUUUUUUGGGGGAAAAAACCUUGUGGGCAACUCCCCGGGGGGGAGGAGGGUACGGGAAAAAAAAGCCCGGGCUAGCUCCGUC
rnacentral:rRNA from 1 species